rnacentral:lncRNA from 1 species
GUAAGCUUAACUUUCCUUUAUGUUUUAUGAAUACUUUCAUGUUGUUGUUUAGCCAUUUCUAUGACUUUUACCAGAUCUAAAAGAUUGCUAGCCAAAACAGUAUUGCAUUUAGACUAGCUGUUUGCUAUCCCCAUUGAAAUGUAGCUAUGUAUCCUCUGUUUUCGUCAUGCUAGCUAAUAAGUAUGUGUGUUUCUAUGCAAAUGUACAGUAUGUUCAUAUUGAUAUACGUACCCAUUCUACUUACUGUAUGUCUUUCGACCUGUUGCCAAGGAGACCCUCGACAUGAGAAGACUGGAGGCCAUUGUUGGGUUUCCAGUGAGAGUGCUUCCUGGCCCAAGACCAAUCCACAUCCAGGUCUCAGGCAUCAACACAUCAACCCUCUCAGUUAUUGGAAGAGAGUUUCUCUUGCGAUGAUCGUGGACUUCAGGAAACAACAGAGGGAGCACCUCCCUAUCCACAUCGAUGGGACUGCAGUGGAGAAGGUGGAAAGCUUCAAGUUCCUCGGCAUACACAUCACUGACAAACUGAAAUGGUCCACCGACACAGACAGUGUGGUGAAGAAGGCGCAACAGUUCCUCUUCAACCUCAGGAGGUUAAGAAAUUUGGCUUGGCCCCUAAGACCCUCACAAACUUGUACAGAUGCACAAUUGAGAGCAUCCUGUCGGGCUGUAUCACCGCCUGGUACGGCAACUGCACCGCCCACAACCGCAAAGCUCUCCAGUCUGCCCAACGCAUUAGCGGAGGCAAAUUUCCUGCCCUCCUGGACACCUACAGCACCCACGAUGCCAUAGGAAGGCCAAACAGAUCAUCAAGAACCUCAACCACCAGAGCCACUGCCUGUUCACCCCGCUAUCAUCCAGAAGGUGAGGUCAGUACAGGUGCAUCAAAGCUGGGACCGAGAGACUGAAAAACAGCUUCUAUCUCAGGGACAUCAGACUGUUAAACAGCCAUCACUAGCACAUCAGAGGCGGCUGCCUAUAGACAUAGAUUAUGAAUCACUGGCCACUUUUAGAAAUGGAUCACUAGCCACUUUAAUAAUGUUCUGUAUCUAGCGUUACUCAUCUCAAAUGUAUAAACUGCACUCCACACUAUUCUACGGUAUCUUAGUCACUUUUAAAUUGUGUUUACAUAUUGCAUCACCCAUUUCAUAUGUAUAUACUGUAUUGUAUUCUAUACUACACCACUGACUGUUAAACAGCCAUCUCCAGCACAUCAGAGGCUGCUGCCUAUAGACAUAGAUUAGGAAUCACUGGCCACUUUAAGGAAAUGAAACACUAGCCACUUUAAUAAUGUCUCCAUAUCUUGCAUUACUCAUCUCAUAUGUGUAAACUGUACUCUAUACUAUUCUACGGUAUCUUAGUC